rnacentral:rRNA from 1 species
AUGGAUUCGCCCGCCCGAGAGAUGCAGGAGAUGGACGAGUUCGUGCUGGUCCCGCACGCCGCGGACCUCUGGUCGUACCAACUCGACGAGGACGACGAUGCCCACGAGAGCGAUGCGCGCUUCUUCGCCGGCAACGACGAGAAGACGAUCGACGUGAACCACUUCGCCUCCGAGCCCACGCCCAACGCCGCACUGCAGUGCGCCACGACGGAGCCGCCGGCGCCGUCCGGCUCUGACUCUGAGAGCGAGGACUCAGUUGCCGACGAGGAGGAAGCGGUCGACGGCCUGUCGGAGAAGGCGUCGGAUGCUGACGAGGACGGGGAGGUGGUUGUUGCAGAUCAGGAGCCAGAGUGCAAGGAGUGGGAAGGCGAUCACGGCCACGGGUGGCAGCAGCACGCGGUCGGCGUGAUCUGCUCCGUGGGGCUGGCGGCGGCGGCCACCGGCCUGGCACUGCUUCUCGGCGGCCAGCAGCAGACGCCGCACAAGGUCCACUUCCGGGCCGCCGGUGAUCGCAAGGUGACUAAGGUUUCAGCAAGGCGAGACGCGAGGCUAGAACAGGGGAUGUCGGUGCCGCGGUUUGAGCAUGCGCCGGCCAUGAUCUCAUUCGGGGGUUCCUACGGCGGGCACCUGUUUUGA